UACGUAGGGUGCGAGCGUUAAUCGGAAUUACUGGGCGUAAAGCGUGCGCAGGCGGUGAUGUAAGGCAGGUGUGAAAUCCCCGGGCUUAACCUGGGAACUGCAUUUGUGACUGCAUCGCUGGAGUGCGGCAGAGGGGGAUGGAAUUCCGCGUGUAGCAGUGAAAUGCGUAGAUAUGCGGAGGAACACCGAUGGCGAAGGCAGUCCCCUGGGCCUGCACUGACGCUCAUGCACGAAAGCGUGGGGAGCAAACAGG
rnacentral:rRNA from 1 species